CAACAUCUGCUUUUCCUAUUUCCUUUCCUCUCUCUCUCUCCUCUUUCAUUUUUUUUUUCUCCUUUCUUCUUUCUCUUCACCAUUUCAGCAAGAAAUCUCUCCCAUCUCACUAGAAAAUCUAAAAAAUAAAUCUCUCUCUCUUCUCACAAGAAAUCCACUAGAGCAACUCCAAGCUUGAGCUUAUCAAAGAGGAAUCCAUUUCAAGUAGGGAUAGGAUCUAAAAGCUUGUGCAUGCAAGCAUUAUUGUGAAAAAAAAAUCAAGGUGCUAAUAUGAUAGAGGAGUGGUUCGAAAAGCUUAAGGAUCCAAAGAAAACAAAACCUAGAACUUCAAAGCUAUGUUUUGGUGAAAAAAGACAUUUGAGCUGCGACGCUGAGCAUUAGAGUCACGACGCUGUGAUUAGACAGAGACACCAAAUUUUGAGAAGUUGAGGGCCGUGGCACUACCUUGAUAAGCUGCAACGCCAGUAGUUGGAGAAUUAGGGUCGUGGCGCACAUGCAUUAGAGUCGUGACACUUGUUGAGGCAGAGAUGGGACAACUUUGGUUCUUGGACAUGGGCCACGACACCUCAUUAUGAGGCCGCGGUGCCUCAAUCGGUCCAAGUGUGGAUUAGGGCAUUUUAAGCAGGGGAAAAAGUGAAAUUUCACAUUCAAAACACAAACAACUAUAAAAGCAAUAUUAUGACGAUUUUUGAAUGAAAAACCUAAGGAGAGAUUCUAGAAAACACUUUGUGGAGGAAAAAGCUUGGAGAUUAACUAGUUUCUAUCACUCUUCUUCUUCUUGUUCUUCUUCUUUUAGUUUCUCUGGUAGUGAUGUUUAUAUUUAGUUUGAUGGAUUUAACUAUGUUUAGCAUGAACUAAUUUCUUAUUUAGGGUGUUAAUGGAUUCUUCUUGAAACCCUAUGAUUAUAUAAUGAAGCUUUU